rnacentral:rRNA from 1 species
UUAAUUCUGGUUGAUCCUGCCAGAGGUUACUGCUAUCGGAGUUCGAUUAAGCCAUGCGAGUCUAAAGGUUUCUUCGGAAACCUUGGCGGACUGCUCAGUAACACGUGGAUAACCUACCCUUGGGACUGGAAUAACCCCGGGAAACUGGGGAUAAUACCGGAUAGAUCAGGGAUGCUGGAAUGCGCCUUGAUCCAAAGCUCCGGCGCCCAAGGAUGGGUCUGCGGCCUAUCAGGUAGUAGUGGGUGUAACGUACCUACUAGCCAACGACGGGUACGGGUUGUGAGAGCAAGAGCCCGGAGAUGGAUUCUGAGACACGAAUCCAGGCCCUACGGGGUGCAGCAGGCGCGA